AGGAGGAGGCCUGGGUCAUAAUGUUUCCACGUUCCGCUCGGAGGAAACUUGUAUCGGUUUAUAAGAAUAUCUCCUCUCUGCAAGAAGACCUACAGCUUAAUAUCCGAUAAAGCAAGGCUACCUCGUUAUCGGCACCUUGAUGUGCCAACCUUAUCUUUUCCUGUGACCCAAGCUUUCGAUCCUCCGGAUUUGAAGUGCUGUGUUGGCCAUGUCUCAACAAGGUGAAAAUGUCUAGAUGAAAAACCUUUUAGUGGAAUAAAAAUCAAAAGUGAGACUCCAGAUAAUUAUGAUCCGGGUUCUCUUAGCAUUCGUGAUGCAGUGGUCAAACAAGAGAUGCUAUGUGAGGAUGAUGGGAUCAACUCAGACAUUUCAUUCUCAUCCAUGGAUCAUCUUGCUCAUGCCUCCUGUUGUGACAUGGACUCUGACGUUAUUCCAGUUAGAGAAGAUAACAAUGUUGAAGAUGAUUCUGAUGGGAAACCAGAAAAGGAUUCAGACAGUGACAUGGACUCUGACGUUAUUCCAGUUAGAGAAGAUAACAAUGACCCUGACUUUGAGGAUGUGGCAGAGAAGGUGUUGUUAUUUAAUUGGGGAGCUUUUGAGGCCACUGUUGUGCCGCCCUGCAAGAGGUGGUGUCAUAGUUCCAGACUAAAGAUGAGGGAAAAGGACCAUGGUAAUCCAAUCAAGUCAGAAAGUGAAGCAUCAGAUGAUGAUAAAGAAGAUAAGACAAGGGGGGGACUAGCAAGUGAUGAGGAAAACACUUAGAGUUUGUCAACAAUCAAAAGAUCAAUUGCCUGCAAGUUUUGCGACAAGUUGUUCUACUGGCAAGCCCAUCUGCGCUUCCAUGUUGAGAGUAAACACCCUGAAAAAGUGGACACUAGCUCUAAGGAUGCUGACGAUGAGGCCAAAUCCAAAAAAAAUUUGAUGUGCACCAUUUGCAGUAAGACAUUCGCUACACUCAAGUUUCUGAAGAAACACGUAUCAAGAAACCUCAUGAAGACAAGCCAUACAAUAGUACAACUUGUAAUCGAGCUUACAGGAAGCAAAUAACUCUUGACAAACAUGCAAUAUACCACUCACCUGAGGAAAUACGAAAGAGACAGGAAAGGACUCGGCAGAAAAGGAUGACAGAAAAGAAAUAUAAAAAGUACAUUUGUGAGCAGUGUGAGAAAAGGUUUACUUCAAAAGGUAGGCAUGCUCACUUGUCUCAAGCUUACCAGGUUUGCUUGUUCCACCUAUAAAUCUGUCUAUAAUCUUUACUCUCUCCCUCUGUUACAAAAAAUAAUAAUGGGUUCAAAUGCAUAGCGUUUGCCUAUGUGCCCAUACAGUGGAAUGCACCUUGUCGAAUACCAUGUGGCUAUGUGUACGAUGUUGGCACCCAACCGUGUUACAUGCGUACUGAAGCGCACUAUGGACCGGGUUUGAAGCGGGUACCCGGUCCGAGCACGGUUCUAGUAUUUCAACCGAAGUACCGUGCACGGUUGGUGUUAGAUGCGUGCACACUUCUUUCAAGCCUUAAUUCAAAACCGUGCACGGUUCGAUAAUCUGAAUAGCCCGGUGCGUGCACGCUUCUUCCAAGCCUUAUUCAAAACCGUGCACAGUUCGAUAAUCUGAAUAGCCCGGUGCGUGUACGCUUCUUCCAAGCCUUAUUCAAAACCGUGCACGGUUCGAUAAUCUAAAUAGCCCGGUGCGUGCACGCUUCUUCCAAGCCUUAAACCAAAACCGUGCACGGUUUGAUAAUCUGAAUAGCCCGGUGCGUGCACGCUUCUUCCAAGCCUUCAAUCAAAAACCGUGCACGGUUCGAUAAUCUGAAUAGCCCGGUGCGUGCACGCUUCUUCCAAGCCUUAAACCAAAACCGUGCACGAUUCGAUAAUCUGAAUAGCCCGGUGCGUGCACGCUUCUUCCAAGCCUUAAACCAAAACCGUGCACGAUUCGAUAAUCUGAAUAGCCCGGUGCGUGCACGCUUCUUCCAAGCCUUAAACCAAAACCGUGCACGAUUCGAUAAUCUGAAUAGCCCGGUGCGUGCACGCUUCUUCCAAAGCUCCUAAACUAAACCGCACACGAUCCAACCAUUCUUAAUGGCCCGGUGCGUGCUCACUGUAAACAAGACUGUGCGCGGUCCUGCCGUAUAGACCGUGUGUUUCGAACGAUGUUGAGUUAAAGGCUGGUGUUAAGAUUUUUCUUUGAUUAAGGGAGUGUUCAUUUAAUACACCGAGGGGGGGGGGAGGGAAGAUAUUGAGGCCUUACCCUAUAUCGAUAACCCAAAGGGUUAAUUCAAGUGCAUGGUAAGUCAAAACGAGUCAGAUGUGUCAGUGCGGGACUCUACUGGAGUGGGGGAUUAUAAGGAAAUGACCAGAAGGGGCGUGGCUGUGCCCCCAUUGUUUUCUUAAUGUUUCUGUAUCGUGCCCCCCCCCCCCCCCCCACCAAUAAUUGAAGGCCUGCUACGGCUAUGUACGAUAGUAAAUAAGGCGAAAACAUAUGUUCUGUGAAAGUGAAAAUAAAUCGAUUUAUUCAUGGU